CACGUAGGGGGGCGAGCGUUGUCCGGAUUCAUUGGGCGUAAAGCGCGCGCAGGCGGCUUGGAAAGUCGGGUGUGAAAACUCGGGGCUCAACCCCGGGCGUGCAUCCGAUACUGCCAGGCUUGAGGCAGGUAGGGGAGAUCGGAAUUCCUGGUGUGAGCGGUGAAAUGACGCAGAUAUCAGGAGGAACACCGGUGGCGAAGGCGGAUCUCUGGGCCUGUCCUGACGCUGAGGCGCGAAAGCUAGGGGGAGCGAACAGG
rnacentral:rRNA from 1 species